rnacentral:rRNA from 1 species
AACGAACGCUGGCGGCAGGCUUAACACAUGCAAGUUGAGCGCCCCGCAAGGGGAGCGGCAGACGGGUGAGUAACGCGUGGGAAUCUACCCAUCUCUACGGAAUAACGCAUGGAAACGUGUGCUAAUGCCGUAUACGUCCUUCGGGAGAAAGAUUUAUCGGAGAUGGGUGAGCCCGCGUUGGAUUAGCUAGUUGGUGGGGUAAAGGCCUACCAAGGCGACGAUCCAUAGCUGGUUUGAGAGGAUGAUCAGCCACACUGGGACUGAGACACGGCCCAGACUCCUACGGGAGGCAGCAGUGGGGAAUAUUGGACAAUGGGCGCAAGCCUGAUCCAGCCAUGCCGCGUGAGUGAUGAAGGCCCUAGGGUUGUAAAGCUCUUUCACCGGUGAAGAUAAUUACGGUAACCGGAGAAGAAGCCCCGGCUAACUUCGUGCCAGCCGCCGCAGUAAAAC